AACGCGAAAAGGCGCAAGCCCUAGUAGAGUGGCGGACGGGUGCGUAACACGUAGGAAUCUUCCUGGCAGUGGGGGACAACUUGGGGAAACUCAAGCUAAUACCGCAUACGCCCUACGGGGGAAAGCGGGGGACCUUUAACGGCCUCGCGCUGACAGAUGAGCCUGCGUCGGAUUAGCUUGUUGGCAGGGUAACGGCCUACCAAGGCAACGAUCCGUAGCUGGUCUGAGAGGACGAUCAGCCACACUGGGACUGAGACACGGCCCAGACUCCUACGGGAGGCAGCAGUGGGGAAUAUUGGACAAUGGGCGCAAGCCUGAUCCAGCAAUGCCGCGUGUGUGAAGAAGGCCUGCGGGUUGUAAAGCACUUUCAGGGGGGAAGAAAAGUCGGAUGCCAAUAUCAUCCAAUCUUGACGUUACCCCAAGAAGAAGCACCGGCUAACUCCGUGCCAGCAGCCGCGGUAAUACGGAGGGUGCGAGCGUUAAUCGGAAUUACUGGGCGUAAAGAGCACGUAGGCGGUUUGAUAAGUCGGAUGUGAAAGCCCUGGGCUUAACCUGGGAAUUGCAUUCGAUACUGCCAAGCUAGAGUACGGGAGAGGGGGGUAGAAUUCCUGGUGUAGCGGUGAAAUGCGUAGAUAUCAGGAGGAAUACCAG
rnacentral:rRNA from 1 species